GACGAACGCUGGCGGCGUGCCUAAUACAUGCAAGUAGAACGCACAGUUUAUACCGUAGCUUGCUACACCAUAAACUGUGAGUUGCGAACGGGUGAGUAACGCGUAGGUAACCUGCCUGGUAGCGGGGGAUAACUAUUGGAAACGAUAGCUAAUACCGCAUAAUAUUAAUUAUUGCAUGAUAAUUGAUUGAAAGAUGCAAUUGCAUCACUACCAGAUGGACCUGCGUUGUAUUAGCUAGUAGGUGAGGUAACGGCUCACCUAGGCGACGAUACAUAGCCGACCUGAGAGGGUGAUCGGCCCCACUGGUACUGAGACACGGCCCAGACUCCUACGGGAGGCAGCAGUAGGGAAUCUUCGGCAAUGGACGAAAGUCUGACCGAGCAACGCCGCGUGAGUGAAGAAGGUUUUCGGAUCGUAAAGCUCUGUUGUAAGAGAAGAACGGGUGUGAGAGUGGAAAGUUCACACUGUGACGGUAUCUUACCAGAAAGGGACGGCUAACUACGUG
rnacentral:rRNA from 1 species